rnacentral:rRNA from 1 species
UACAGAGGAGCCAAGCGUUGUCCGGAUUGACUGGGCGUAAAGCGCACGCAGGCGGACGCGCGCGUGGGGUGUGAAAUCUGGCCGCUUAACAGCCAGGCGCCAUCCCAUACGGCGCGUCUGGAGUGAUGCAGAGGUCGAUGGAAUUGCCGGUGUAGUGGUGAAAUGCGUAGAGAUCGGCAGGAACACCCAGGGGGAAACCAGUCGACUGGGCAUCUACUGACGCUGAGGUGCGAGAGCGUGGGGAGCGAACCGG